rnacentral:lncRNA from 1 species
GAAUGUUCAUGCACAUACCAAAAAAUUGAAAGUCACUGCAACAAAUUACAAAAAAAAUUCUUGUGUAGAUCUUGAGCUUCCUCCGCUCGCCGUUCACCAUUGCCCACUAGUUCCCCACCAGCAAGCAACGUCAGGAAGGGCGGCUCCACGGAUCUUCCGGUUCCAGUGAUGAGUUUGUGCACCUCCAAUCCCAUGCCUCCCCGCGAAUGGAUCUGGUGGAUCUGAGAGAGAAUAUGAGAUUGCAAUUGUUGGC